UGACAGCCCCGUACACAAAAGCGCAUGUGCUGUGAGCUCGAUGAGUAGGGCGGGACACGUGGUAUCCUGUCUGAAUAUGGGGGGACCAUCCUCCAAGGCUAAAUACUCCUGACUGACCGAUAGUGAACCAGUACCGUGAGGGAAAGGCGAAAAGAACCCCGGCGAGGGGAGUGAAAAAGAACCUGAAACCGUGUACGUACAAGCAGUGGGAGCACAGGUUUACCUGUGUGACUGCGUACCUUUUGUAUAAUGGGUCAGCGACUUAUAUUCUGUAGCAAGGUUAACCGAAUAGGGGAGCCGGAGGGAAACCGAGUCUUAAUUGGGCGUUAAGUUGCAGGGUAUAGACCCGAAACCCGGUGAUCUAGCCAUGGGCAGGUUGAAGGUUGGGUAACACUAACUGGAGGACCGAACCGACUAAUGUUGAAAAAUUAGCGGAUGACCUGUGGCUGGGGGUGAAAGGCCAAUCAAACCGGGAGAUAGCUGGUUCUCCCCGAAAGCUAUUUAGGUAGCGCCUCGUGAAUUCAUCUCCGGGGGUAGAGCACUGUUUCGGCUAGGGGGCCAUCCCGGCUUACCAACCCGAUGCAAACUGCGAAUACCGGAGAAUGUUAUCACGGGAGACACACGGCGGGUGCUAACGUCCGUCGUGAAGAGGGAAACAACCCAGACCGCCAGCUAAGGUCCCAAAGUCAUGGUUAAGUGGGAAACGAUGUGGGAAGGCCCAGACAGCCAGGAUGUUGGCUUAGAAGCAGCCAUCAUUUAAAGAAAGCGUAAUAGCUCACUGGUCGAGUCGGCCUGCGCGGAAGAUGUAACGGGGCUAAACCAUGCACCGAAGCUGCGGCAGCGAACGUAUCACCCAAGACAACUUUACGGAGUUGACGAUUGACGGAGCGAAGCGACGUCAAAGCGUUCAUUAAAGUCGAGUUGGCUUAGGGAUACGUUCGUUGGGUAGGGGAGCGUUCUGUAAGCCUGUGAAGGUGUGUCGUGAGGC
rnacentral:rRNA from 1 species